ACUGUGAAAGAUUUAUUGGUUACAAGAACUGUGCUUCCUUUAGACAUGAAGUAGUUCCCACGGUCAGGGUCUGGUAUCAAAUACCUCAGAUUUCUCCUUGCUUGAGGAAUAUGCAUGCAGUCUUCUCCCUCCAAGCUGAAUGCCACCAAACUCAGUACUCCAGAGAGAACCUCAAGGUCAAAGCUUGAAUCACAGAAAUCCAGACAGAAAUACUGACUCAUUGUAUUCAUGCAAUCCAAGGACAGCACCUUCUGCUGCUGCUUGAGCAUCUCCACAAGGGUCCACUUCAACACAGGGGAUUUCCAGGUCUUGGAUCUGUCUACAACCAACUGAAAAAUACAGUACAGAAUGAGUAGGCCAUAUUGCACAGAGAAGCAAAACAGAGCUGCUGCAGCCUGCCAAGGAAUCCAGUUCAACAGUCCAGCAAUCUUGCCAUUACCCGAGUAAGUAGUCCCACAGCUCUUAUUCAGUAACAGUUUAAAUGAUAGUUGUUGAGGAAGCCUUAGGGGCAUUACAUAUUCCACUGGCAGUAAGGAAAAUGUCUGGGAGUAUGUACACACAACUACUACUGAAAAGCAUUGCCAAAGUUAUCUUUCAGCACAGUGCACCUCUUAAUCUGCUUCCUUUUCACUUCCUAGAGAGUUACAUUUAGUGGAGGCUAAGUUAUAUGUCACAAUAUAAUUAUUUUUGUACAACAACUACUUCUGAAUUAUAUGUACAUAGAACGUUUACAAAUAACAGAUAUUUCAUUUUCUGUUUGCACAGUUAUCUGUCAGUUCAAGGUCUUGCAUUUCAGAGCCACUCUGAAUUUUCUGGGAGGGGAAGGUGGUGGUACCACAGAAGCACUGUGCUGUUAGCACCAAAGGCACCAUCACAGAAGGGGUUAACCUGCUGCUUCCCCAUGAACAGGGUAUGGCACCAUCCUCCUGCAGUUGUGACUUACUGUAGAGUUGGAUGAAAACACCACUGACAUUUGAACGCUGAAGUAUAUGGUAUAAAUUAGGAAUCAUUUUUUUUUCUGCCUUAUCUUUAUGCUAAAAUUAUAGGAAGUGCUUCAGACUUACCAAAACUUUGAAACUCUUAUUUAUUUAUUAUUUAUUUAUUGUGCUCCUAAAGAAAAACGGAGUGGCUAACACUGCAUUGAAGAAAAGAGAUUAUAAAUACCUGUUGCAACAGCAGGUGCAGAAAGUUCUCCACUCAUAAUCCUGCUGACCUUGUAGGACCAAAACCAGAGAUGGUAUACAGAGAAACUGCUUAGUACAACUAUAGAUUGACUUUGGAUUAUGACAUUUCCUUUGAAACUGUGAUACUGCCUUUCCAAAUGCCUGCUGGUCAUGCUGAGUAUGUGCUGAAGAUGAAUUGAAUCGUUUUAAUUUCUUACCUCACACAGAGCAUGCACAUAAACUGCUGCAGCAUUCAGUGGCUUGAGUCUGCUGUGUACAAUAGUAAAACGUAUUUUAUAAAAAUAUCAACUGAAAGUAGAAUUUCCCUCAUAAGACAGCUUUUUUCAUUGGUCUUUAGAUGUAAACAGAGUAAAAAGAGCGAGGAAAAUAAGUAUCUGGGUCAGAGAUUUUAAACUCAUUGACUUAAGCUGAGUUAUCCUCAUUUAAAUACCUACAUAAGCAGCUUAGUCAGCAAAAAUGUUAAAUAUCAGCUUAUUCUGGUAACUUGCUUUACUGAGGGUUCUGCACAAUUCAGUGAUAAAACUAGUUAUUUGGGAACAUAAAACACAGUGUUAGGCACUACUGAAAAUGACCCUUA